rnacentral:rRNA from 1 species
GGGUUGUGAGGUUAAGCGACUAAGCGUACACGGUGAAUGCCCUGGCAGUCAGAGGCGAUGAAGGACGUGCUAAUCUGCGAUAAGCGUCGGUAAGGUGAUAUGAACCGUUAUAACCGGCGAUUUCCGAAUGGGGAAACCCAGUGUGAUUCGUCACACUAUCAUUAACUGAAUCCAUAGGUUAAUGAGGCGAACCGGGGGAACUGAAACAUCUAAGUACCCCGAGGAAAAGAAAUCAACCGAGAUUCCCCCAGUAGCGGCGAGCGAACGGGGAGCAGCCCAGAGCCUGAAUCAGUGUGUGUGUUAGUGGAAGCGUCUGGAAAGGCGCGCGAUACAGGGUGACAGCCCCGUACACAAAAAUGCACAUGCUGUGAGCUCGAUGAGUAGGGCGGGACACGUGGUAUCCUGUCUGAAUAUGGGGGGACCAUCCUCCAAGGCUAAAUACUCCUGACUGACCGAUAGUGAACCAGUACCGUGAGGGAAAGGCGAAAAGAACCCCGGCGAGGGGAGUGAAAAAGAACCUGAAACCGUGUACGUACAAGCAGUGGGAGCACGCUUAGGCGUGUGACUGCGUACCUUUUGUAUAAUGGGUCAGCGACUUAUAUUCUGUAGCAAGGUUAACCGAAUAGGGGAGCCGAAGGGAAACCGAGUCUUAACUGGGCGUUAAGUUGCAGGGUAUAGACCCGAAACCCGGUGAUCUAGCCAUGGGCAGGUUGAAGGUUGGGUAACACUAACUGGAGGACCGAACCGACUAAUGUUGAAAAAUUAGCGGAUGACUUGUGGCUGGGGGUGAAAGGCCAAUCAAACCGGGAGAUAGCUGGUUCUCCCCGAAAGCUAUUUAGGUAGCGCCUCGUGAAUUCAUCUCCGGGGGUAGAGCACUGUUUCGGCAAGGGGGUCAUCCCGA